CAGCAGCCGCGGGAACACGAAGGGGGCUAGCGUUGCCCGGAAUGACUGGGCGUAAAGGGCGCGUAGGCGGUUUGCACAGUCGGGUGUGAAAGCCCGGGGCUCAACCUCGGAAUUGCCUUCGAUACUGGCUGUCUUGAGUAUGAGAGAGGUGUGUGGAACUCCGAGUGUAGAGGUGAAAUUCGUAGAUAUUCGGAAGAACACCAGUGGCGAAGGCGACACACUGGCUCAUUACUGACGCUGAGGCGCGAAAGCGUGGGGAGCAAACAGGAUUAGAUACCCCAGUAGUCCCUGUCUCUUAUAC
rnacentral:rRNA from 1 species